rnacentral:lncRNA from 1 species
GUUUUUACAGAACACUUGGACUAUAACGUCAUGGCAAAAUACGUUGCAGCAGCAGCUAGUCGAGCACUUGGACUUGUAAUAUCGAAAUACAAGGGACUUGGAGGUUUACCUUUUGGAACUUUUACAAAGCUGUACGACUCUAUGGUUUGAGUACUAUUAGUUACGGUGCGGCAGUAUGGGGAGAUAAGUCAUUCUCGUGUAUAAAUGCUGUUCAAAACAAAGCAAUACGUUUUUUCAUGGGAGUUGGUCGUUAUACCCCAAACGUUGCAGUAAAUGGAGAUUCAGGAUGGACACCACCGUUUGUGAAACAAUGGCGGGUAAUCAUAAACUAUUGGAAUCGGUUACGAUAUAUGGAUGAGAAUAGAAUAAAUAAGAAAAUAGACAAUUGGGCAGAGCAGAAUUUCAGACGUCAUCGAGUGUGCAAAAACUCAAACUUUAGAAUUUAUAGUCUAUUCGAAUCAUGUGGUAUAGCGAACUUGUUUAAUGACACUGAUAUUGAUAAGCAGCAAGUUAACAAUGCUAUACAUGUAAAACUUAUGUCCGACUUUAAACAGAAAUGGAAUGAAGAUUUGCAUAAAGACACUACCAGACGAAAUGGACCAGGAGGUAACAAACUACGUACAUAUAGAACAUUUAAACAGGAUGUAUAUACAGAACUUUACCUAGAUAAACUUAUAAUACCAUCGCACAGAAGAGCAUACUCUCAGUUUCGCUGUGGUGUUGCCCCAAUACGUGUGGAGACAGGACGCUACGAGAGUCUUCCAAUAGAUCAAAGAACUUGUUUUGUUUGUGACGAUAAAAUUGAAAACGAGGAGCAUGUAUUGACUGAAUGUCCGUUAUACGACGAUCUUAGAGACGAACUGUAUAAGUUUUUAAACUUUGAAAACGAAAAUUUUAGUCUAUUGCCGAAUUCUUUGAAACUUUCAUUUAUUUUAGCGAGUGAUAAUAUUAAUGUGAUACAAAAAUGUGCCAAAAACCUGCAAGCUUAUUUUAGACCGUAGACGACGUUUUUUAUACCGAUAAUUGAUGUAAAUAUGUUUUAUGAUUUAACUUUUGUUUUAUAAUUGCUUUUUGAAAAUUUGUAAAUACUAGUUCCUUUUAAUCCGUCUCUCAUAAUUCUUUUAGAAUGGCAUUAAUAAUUUUAAAAAGGUUUACUUUUAUAAUGUGAAAUGUGUAUACUGUAUUAUUGAUGGUGAGACGUUAAUAAAUUAUUAUUGUAUUGUAUUGUAUUGU